CCUACGGGUGGCAGCAGUGGGGAAUAUUGGGCAAUGGAGGCAACUCUGACCCAGCAACGCCGCGUGAAUGAUGAAGGUCUUCGGAUUGUAAAGUUCUGUGAUGGGGGAUGAACACAAUGACGGUACCCCAAUAGCAACCCCCGGCUAACUACGUGCCAGCAGCCGCGGUAAUACGUAGGUGGCAAGCGUUAUCCGGGAUGACUGGGCGUAAAGGGUGCGUAGGUGGAAUGCCAAGUCAGCGGUAAACUCGCGGGGCUCAAACUCGCUCCGCCGUGGAAACUGGCGUUCUUGAGUGGGCUAGAAGUAUGCGGAAUGCGUGGUGUAGCGGGGAAAUGCAUAGAUAUCACGCAGAACUCCGAUUGCGAAGGCAGCAUACCGGCGCCCAACUGACGCUGAAGCACGAAAGCGUGGGUAUCGAACAGGAUUAGAUACCCGGGUAGUC
rnacentral:rRNA from 1 species